UACGGAGGGAGCUAGCGUUAUUCGGAAUUACUGGGCGUAAAGCGCACGUAGGCGGCUUUGUAAGUUAGAGGUGAAAGCCUGGAGCUCAACUCCAGAAUUGCCUUUAAGACUGCAUCGCUUGAAUCCAGGAGAGGUGAGUGGAAUUCCGAGUGUAGAGGUGAAAUUCGUAGAUAUUCGGAAGGACACCAGUGGCGAAGGCGGCUCACUGGACUGGUAUUGACGCUGAGGUGCGAAAGCGUGGGGAGCAAACAGG
rnacentral:rRNA from 1 species